CUGCCACUCACUCACUCGCACGUUCUCUCUCAUUGCAGUAGCACUGAGCCAGUAUCCACGUCACCAAACAAAGCGUGGCCCAGAAACCCCAGACAAUAACAGAAGUCCAUCAGAGGCCACAUCACAAUCGAUCGACGACGAAUUCUCUUUCCAUUUUCCCUCAUCAGCCGAGUGAGUGCGUAAGUCUUCAUUUCGAGGCAGCGAGGGGCGAAUUUCCUGCCCCCGCAGCUAGACUGCCUGUACAGCACGCCGUAUAUUAGGGUGAGCCGCGGAGAAACUUUGGCCCAGCUUCGACUUCGCGCCGGCCGAGCCGCCUCGAUUGUUUGCUGCCCUAGAAAUACCGCCCCGAGUAUUUAUAAGUAAAAGAGACUCUUGCGGGUUUAAAAUGUCGUAAAUGCGGAGUGUGUGUGUGCCAUAAAGUGACGUCACUUUAUGGUGAAUAAUGGGUCGUCAACAUCAAACAGAUACACAUCGGCAGCAAAUCUCGAAAUGCCUCACUUGGGCUCCAUUUUCAAAAAUCGUUAUGAUGUCGUUGGCUCACUUUAUUGUUUGUUUGUCCAAGAGAGCAGUAGAGCAAUAACAGCGUGUGUAUGUGUGACUGCUGAUGUCACUUGCUUCUUCUCUUUUUACUUUGAGAAAAAGACGAGCUUUUUAGCUGUCAAGCUUCACGACUGCUUCAUGGACCAUUAAAUUCCAGAAUUUUGUAAUUCUUGAGCCAAGACUGCCGGACGGGCUCUCGCGGAAUUGAGCAAUUUGUUUUAUAUUAAUUUUUAUUUCUGUUUUACGGGCGCAUCAAGUAUAUAAAGGGUCAAAGUGUACAAAAUUUUAGCAAUAACAUAUAAUUUUUACUGCUAAAUAAACGAAAG